UGAAAUAUUUAGGGUAGUGAUUAUGUCUUC
rnacentral:piRNA from 2 species